rnacentral:lncRNA from 1 species
CGAACGGAAUGAAAGCCUCCGUGUCGCGCUUCCUGCCUCGGCGCCCCGGCCUGGGGGGGGCCAUGUGGGCUCCCCGGGGCUCCUCGCUGUGGCGGGUUCCCCAGCGCCGGGCAGUGGGACGUGGGGAGCGGAGGAGAGGUGCACGUGGAGGGCGCCGGGCCAGCCCUGCGCUCCGUAGGACGCACCCUGCCCCGGGGCCGUCCAUCCUACGCUCCCACCCCGUGCCCUCACCACGGAGAGAGCCAGCAGAGGUCACCCGCCGGGCCUGCUCUCGUGCGAAGCACCCCCAUGUACGCGCCCCCGCAGGAAGACUCGGGCUCACCUGCCUGCAGGAGCCCGGCCUCUCUGUGCACCCCGGCCCCCUCCAGGUGCAGCUCAGACCCGCAUGGCUUUCUCCUGCCUUCGACGCCUCACGAAGCCCACAGCAGCCUCCUGAGACUCCAGGAGCCUUGCACACCCGGGGCUUACCCUUGACACAGCUCUCCGCGAAGGGGAGGCUUUCGUUUGGCUGUGGUCAGGGGGCCGGAGUACUGAUCUGGAGGAGGACGGGGCAGGCACAGAGGCGCUUGUUAGGAACGGUGAGGAGGAACGCACUGAGCUCCAGGGCAAGCAGCAGAAGCGCUGGUUGAGAAGCGUCCACUGACAGGGAGCAGGGCAGCAGCGAUGUGCUCAAUCCGUCAUGGAAAAACAGAGUGAGUGCCGGGAUUUCUCUGAGAAGCACCAGGGCACAAGACUGUCAUGAACAGAGUACUGACUCUGAAGAACGAUAACGUGGUCUCUCGAUUCUGGAGGGUUACGCGGUGCAGGAAAAAUUAAGUGACAUUAGACAGAUUUUUCAUCAAAACUGUCCCUGAAGGAGACCUCCCUGCUGUCCUCGUGGAGGACGAUUCUUCCUGCAAGCAACCUCCUCCCCACCCACCUUCCUGUCCUCAGCGAGAAGUCACCUCAAGCAAAUUAGAGUUCUCUCUUCAUACCACACUGUCCUGCAUUGGAACGUACUUCGUUUCAUAUUUCUGUGUUAAAAAAUGCAUAUGGCUCAGAAUAAUCAACCUCACUUACACUGAACUUCUGGCCCCUUGAUGAGUUGAGAAGCUGACUUGGGAGUUUAUCUCUCAUUUCUAUCGUUGGCCAAAAAUAAAGUUCUUUCCUA